ACCUGGCUGGCUCAGUCAGUAGAGCAUGAGACUCUUGAUCUCGGGACUGUGAGUUUGAGCCCCACAUUGGGUG
rnacentral:tRNA from 1 species